rfam:Felis catus isolate Cinnamon breed Abyssinian chromosome B4, whole genome shotgun sequence.
GCCUGGGUGGCUCAGUCGGUUGAGCGUCCGACUUCAGCUCAGGUCCCGAUCUCACGGUUCGUGAGUUCGAGCCCCGCAUCGGGCU